GUUGGGAAUAUUGCACAAUGGACGAAAGUCUGAUGCAGCGACACCGCGUGUGGGAUGAAGGCCUUCGGGUUGUAAACCACUGUCAGGGGGGACGAAGUGUUCCGGCCUAAUAUGCCGGAAUGUUGACGGUACUCCCAGAGGAAGCCACGGCUAACUCUGUGCCAGCAGCCGCGGUAAGACAGAGGUGGCAAGCGUUGUCCGGAUUUACUGGGCGUAAAGGGCGUGUAGGCGGUUUCGUCAGUCAGCCGUGAAAUGCGUCGGCUCAACCGAAGCAGUGCGACUGAUACUGCGAGGCUAGAGGAUCGGAGAGGGAAGGGGAAUUCCUGGUGUAGCAGUGAAAUGCGUAGAUAUCAGGAAGAACACCAAUGGCGAAGGCGCCUUCCUGGCCGGUUUCUGACGCUGAGGCGCGAAAGCCAGGGGAGCAAACGGGAUUAGAUACCCUGGUAGUCC
rnacentral:rRNA from 1 species